rnacentral:rRNA from 1 species
UACGGAGGAUCCAAGCGUUAUCCGGAUUUAUUGGGUUUAAAGGGUGCGCAGGCGGGAGAUUAAGUCGGUGGUGAAAUUUUGCAGCUCAACUGUAAAAGUGCCAUUGAUACUGGUUUUCUUGAGUGUAGAUGAAGUAGGCGGAAUUUGUGGUGUAGCGGUGAAAUGCAUAGAUAUCACGAGGAACUCCGAUUGCGCAGGCAGCUUACUAAACUUAACUGACGCUCAGGCACGAAGGCGUGGGGAUCAAACAGGAUUAGAUA